rnacentral:rRNA from 1 species
UACGAAGGGGGCUAGCGUUGCUCGGAAUGACUGGGCGUAAAGGGCGCGUAGGCGGACGGCUUUGUCGGGCGUGAAAUUCCAGGGCUUAACCUUGGGGCUGCGUUCGAGACGGGUUGUCUAGAGUUUGGAAGAGGGUCGUGGAAUUCCCAGUGUAGAGGUGAAAUUCGUAGAUAUUGGGAAGAACACCGGUGGCGAAGGCGGCGACCUGGUCCUUGACUGACGCUGAGGAGCGAAAGCGUGGGGAGCAAACAGG